rnacentral:rRNA from 1 species
UUGGGCAUAUUGGACAAUGGGGGCAACCCUGAUCCAGCCAUGCCGCGUGGGUGAAGAAGGCCUUAGGGCUGUAAAACUCUUUCAGCGGGGAAGAUGAUGACGGUACCCGCAGAAGAAGCCCCGGCUAACUCCGUGCGAGCAGGCGCGGUAAUACGGAGGGGGCUAGCGUUGUUCGGAAUUACUGGGCGUAAAGGGCGUGUAGGCGGUUUGUCUAGUCAGGCGUGAAAGCCCCGGGCUCAACCUGGGAACUGCGUUUGAUACUGGCAGGCUAGAGGUUGGAAGAGGAGAGUGGAAUUCCCAGUGUAGAGGUGAAAUUCGUAGAUAUUGGGAAGAACACCAGUGGCGAAGGCGGCUCUCUGGUCCAUACCUGACGCUGAGGCGCGAAAGCGUGGGGAGCAAACAGGAUUAGAUACCCCCGUAGUCC